UCAUAUCCAGUUCUAAACCUUUUCCCUUCUUAAUGCCCCAGGCAUUUGGAAAAUUUUAGAACGGAUGAAUAUAGCACAUGUAAUCGAUCCUAUAUCCGAAGCAUAUGGGACACGAUUCAUGAUGUCUUACAUAAAGACUAAACCAGUCUUUUGCUAUAAUAUUUCCAUUUCAAUUUGCCAAGUUCUCAUAAUUCAGAUUAUGAAAAGGGAUGCCGUAAUCAUAAUCGAAUUUUAGAACGCAAAUAAUGGACCCAUAUACAGAAUUUCCUUAUGUUGAGCCAUUCCAACAUGAAAUUCAUAUAUAUCCUUGACUAAAUGAUUAAAACCUCACGAUCUAAGCUUAUAGAUUUGAGAUGAAGCAUAAUUUCCUCUCCCUUAAUUAUAGCAAAACAACUUUUUCCCAAUUGAAACUUUUGUUUUCUAUAAUUAACAUUGCUAACUUGCAAUACUUAUCAUAAUUAUCAUGCUCCCACUAACAUGAUGAUUAUUAGCAUAACACUUAUGCUCCCACUAGCUUUGACAUGUACUCAGAAAUCAGCUGACUUUCUUACCAAAGUUCAGAUUUCUGAUACUAGAUUGUUUUGAUAAAACUUUAUCAAAAACAUACACCUUCCCUUAGAUAGCACACUUGUGUGUCUAAAUAAUUAUGAAGAGGGAUGCCGUAAUCAUAAUGGUUAGACCUUUUUGCUACUUCUCACAAGUCCAGGUUAGUGUGUCGGUAAACCACACACGCUCCAUUAACGACUUUGAGAAUGCAAAUAUCACAAUUGCUAUCUAGCUAAAAUCUACUUAGUGAAAGUGUUUCCUCACCAUCAUUUUCAUGAAUCGGAGAGAAACCUUAUGACACUUAGAUCUAAUGGUGUAUGUGUUCUUAUCCAUAUGAAUUUGUCAAAACCAUAAUCGCAAGACAAGGAUAAUGACAACUCCAAAACCAUAUGGAUUGAACUCAAUCUUAAUUUCUUGCCACAUGACAGCUCAAGGGUCAGCCAUUGCUUCCAAAUUUUUGUGCAACAAAUUGAGAACUUUAAGAACUCCAAGACGUGUGAGUUGUUAUUUGCUGGUCGGUUGCACAUUGAUGAUAAGUAAACGCACCAGUAACUUGUUGUUAUAAAACUUAUUGUUGUGUGUAAUUCAAUGAGUGAAUACAAGCAAGCAUUGAUUUGAAGUUUAUCCGUUCCUUUUUCCCAAAGUGGGAUAAAAGUGAUAUAUGUGGGCCCCUCGAUGAUUUAGUGAUGACACCCUAAGCGCUUGGCCAAGCCGAGACUAAUUUGAUGUGUUCAAUUGUAGUCUGUUGUCAGUUGUCAUAAAUCGAAAAUCGGUAAACAACACAUAGACUGAGAGAAUGAUUUCAAUACAUGUCUCAUGUCUAUACGAUAUCAAGAAUGGAGGAAUAUAUGAUCCCUUAUCUAAAGGACACGGUUCUGAUACGAUCAGAGUUGACAACGGCUUUUGAAAGCUACGAUUGCUGAUCAGGUUCUGAAGUCAUAUGUAGAAUAGUUAUUAGACUUAUCCAAGUGGUCCUUUUGGGUUGCCUUCACACUGGUGACUAGACAUGAUGAUUGUUGAGGAGAGAGGCUGGUUUAUUGUUAAGAAUAAUAAAUUAGGGUAUAAAUAUGAUUUGUUAAUAUAUUAUAUGAAUAAUAUAUUAAUUUGGAAUCAUAUUAUUAAUUAGUAUUUAAUCAGAAAUUAAUUUAGAAUUAAUUUUGGGAUUAAAGGAACUGACUGAAAGUGCAUGGGCUGUUUUGUAAUUAUUCAAUAGUUGAGGCUUUGGGCCAUUGGAUCACCUUUAUUAAGGCUUGAAUGAAAAUCCUAUAAGGAUCUAGGUGUUUUCGUCCAAGGGCGUAAGGAAAGGAGUCCAUGGACUUGCUUAGGCCCUAAGCUAAGGGAUUAGGGUUUACACCUUGAAACCCUAGUUAGCCUUAACUAUAAAUAGCACCCUAAGGCACUAAGAUUUCAUCCAAGCCUUGGGAAACCCUAAAAGGGACGAAAUCUAGGGCAAGAUACCCUUCUCUCCUCUCUCCCAUAUUCAUCCUUUCACCUAGUGUGUUUGUGAGCCAUUAGAGGUACUACACUUGUGGUACUUGCUUUCAAAGCUAAGGAGAUUCAAGGAACUAGUUGUUAUUACUAUAUAACAACAAAAGGUAUGUAUUCUAUUCUUCUAUGUGGAUUUCGAAAAUAGUACUAGCAUGCCAGGUUUCUUUUUGUGUUCAUAAAGUUGUAUAACUAAUAGUGAAAACAUAGAUCCAACUCUAGGGUUGCAUGCACACAUAGGAUUGUUUGUUUAAAAACCCAUCAGGUGGAAGGGGUUGUAUUUAUAGGGUGAAAUAUGGAUGAAAUUGGUGCCACAUGUCACCAUCUAGUGGCAAGCCUUGGGGAGAAAGCAAUGGCCAAGAUUGUGCCACGUCACCCCUUUUGCAGCAACAACCUGACAACUUCUAAACCUCGUAACUUUCGCAUACAAGCUCCGUUUUCGACGUUAUUUAUAUAAACACAUAGGUAAAAAUAAGUUCUACAACUUUCGUUUUGACUCCAUCAGCUAGUUCUUGACCGAUCUUAAAUUUAACAGUACGAUGAGAUUAUAUUGUUAAAUGUCCGCAUAAAAUUCAUAACUUCUACAUACGAACUCCGUUUUCGUCUAUCUUUUUACUGUUGAGUUCCUAUUAAUGAGAUCUUCAAUUCUCAUUUAGGUCGCAUAGGCCAGAAAUCGCUCGAUCUAAAAUCCGAGUUUCGGGGUGUGCAUUGCUAUGCCAAAUCUUAGAAAAUUCAUAACUUCCUCAUACGAAGUCAGAUUUGGGCGUUCUUUUCAUUUUUGUAUGUUCCCCGUUUAACGUAUACUACAAAUUUUGUUUAGAUCACUAAGGCUAAAAAGUACUUUAUCAAAAAUUCACUAUUUAUGUCUCCCGGUGUCGUGCCGGUUUUGCCGUAAAACUUCGACGGACCAUAACUUCUUCGUUACAACUCGGAUUUCGGCGUUCUUUAUAUGUACGGAACCCUUUAGACGUAUUCUACAACUUGGUUAAGAUUAUUUAUUCUAAAUAAUCUUUUGUCGAAAAUUCAUUUUCGACCCCUAUUAUCUCUAAAUUGAUUAGCCCGGAUCUACGGGCGUUACACUACCCAAGAUUUCAAGAUCCUUCUGUAAUGAUUUCCAACUACGAGCUCUUUGCCAUGAUGAAGAGACUGGAAUGACAAGUUACUCAGUAGCAAGAGGACAACAUGACAGUGUUAAAGGAAAUAGAAAGAAUGAGGACGACGAUACAUAAAUCCCAAGAAGCAACACCCGACGAAACCUUCAUCACUCCUAAUAACAAGGAUUCUGGUAACUUCAUGAAUAAUAAUACUUUUAAUACUAACUCUAUGGACCUUGAUGCAUGAAUGAGCCUAGUUAUGGCCAAGGAACUUCAACAAUUAAGGUAGAAGAUCUCAAGUGUGCUCAGAGUGGUCCAACCUAUACCGUAAGUAUCCCCCAUGAGCCACAUGAUCUCGAGAUUUGCUCAUGCGAUAGCUGAUAAUGAAGUCCCAAAGCACUUCCAAACUCCCAACGUGAAGCCUUACGAUGGAACUACGAAUCCUAAAGACAUGUGACACAAUACAGGGAAAGAAUGAAGAUCAUCUCCAUUCACACACAUUUGAAGGAAGCUUCUCUAUGUAUGGGUUUCGGUUCAACCCUCACAAGAUCAUCCUUAAAAUGGCUUCUUAACGUUCCUCCUUACUUUAUUACUUCAUUUUCUUAUGUUGAUUCAUGAAAAAUGAUCCCUUAGCAAUCCAAAGUGAAGCCUAUUCCUCUGCAGAAGAAUUCCGAGAUGAUACCUAUUCCGAAGAGAAGAUCUGUCUGAGACACAUCCUUUUUAUUACUUUCUCUUUGACUAUGUAUAGUGCACUAAUUAUUCCUAGUACAAAUUUGUCUUUUAGUAGUUGUUUUAUUGUACAAUACAUGGGACAAGAUCAACAGAUGCGGCUUUGACAGUCUAUUGAUCUUCGGUUGCCUUCUAGUCCAUGCACUUUACAGGAUUUGUCUUAUUUGUCUCACUCCAUGCCUAUUUAAGGAGAUGUAAGGUUGAUUGUUUACACAUGUAUGACUGCAACAUUUUGUAUCAUAUCAAUACCAAGAAUCAUUCAGUUAAAUCACUCUCUCUCUCUCUCUCUCUCUCUCUCUUUCUUUCUCUUACAUUCUUAUUGUUCUUAAGUUACUUUACUUUACAUUGUUCAUACUUGUUAAUCAUUUUAUAUCUUGAAUACUUUGUGUAAUAUUUAUAUUCCAAUACAAGACUGGUUUACUAGACUUGACUGGAUAUUUUUAGCAGCAGACAUUGAUCUUAAGUUAAUUCAAGGUUUGAGUUUUCAAACCUUGUCUGCACAGAUCAUUUAUUACUUUCACAAUUUGUAUCAGAGCCUAAGUGGUUGUCCUUUGAAUCCAUAAGAACAUAUUAUAGUUGAUUGAAGAUUACCUUGGUAUCUUAAUCAUUUAUAUGUUAGGGAUAAAAUUUCUUCUAUAUACCACUUCAGCUCUAAUAUCUUAACUUCAGUCGCUGCUUCUAAUCAAACUCAACAAAUGUAUUCAAUGCAAAUAGCAAAUAGCGUGGGUUUCCCAACGCGUGCCCCAUUAUUAGUUGUUGAAGAGUAUAAUCAUUGGAAAGUUAGAAUGGAGAGAUUUCUGCUUGGUAAAGAAAAAGGUGAAGAUAUAUGGAGAUCUGUAAAAGAAGGUCCUCAUGUUCCUGUAAGACAAAUGGUCAGAGAUGCCUCUACUACACUUAUGGGUCAAGAAGAACUCCGUACAACACUACUACCUGCCUCAGAUAUUGAAAAGAUUCAUGCAUAUCAGAUUCCUUUCUUAGAGAUGGUGUUCGGUGUUCCUCAUUCUCUCUUUGAGCACAUAAAAUUAUGCAAAUAUGCCAAAUAAAUUUGGGAUACACUUCAAUACUUGUUCGAAGUGUCUAAGAACAUGAAAAAUAAGCAUUUGACAUCAAUUUUAAAUGAAUUUGACACCUUCACUACAACUCUUGGUGAAUCUGUAGCCUCUGCAUCAAAUCAGUAUAGAAUCAUUGUGAACAACAUGAUAACACAUGGCAUAGUACGAACUCCAUUCGAGUAUAAUCUCAAGUUCAUCAACAGCCUUGGCAAAGGAUGGGGAAAUGUUAAAUCAUGUCUUCGGAAUAAUAGUUCUUUGAAGAAACCGAAGCUCUAUUAGUUUUUUGACGAAUUACAAGGUCAUGAAUCCAACGUUGCGUAAACGUUAAGAGAACUCUCAGGAGCUCCUCUCACUUUAAUAAGCUCUGUCAAUCCACUGAUUCCGAACCCGCCUGUAUCAGAUCCUUUUGGAGCCAUCUCAUCUGUUCCACCUGUUUAACUUACUCGACCUUGUAACAACCCGUUAUUUGAAGUCGAUGUAAGUCAAACUUAUUCGAAUAAAAGUUUAAACUACAAUCGUAUACAAGUAAAUCCAUGUCAUAGCAUUAAUACAAUUAGAACUUAAAGGCCUUAAUGGCAUGUUUAUAUAAGUUAUUUUAUUUGCAUACUUUGAUAAUCAUACUUAUAUAUAAGUAACUUAUAUAUUGAAAAACUAUGCAUAUAUAACUUAAAUACAAGUUAAUAAAAGUCAAGGAAGUCAAACCAAAGUCAAAUAAUUAAAAUUAUUUGAUUUAAUAUAAUGGAAAUAAUUUUAUUAUAUAUGUGUUUUGAUUUUUAGAAUUAAAUCACUCAAAAAUGAAUUAAAUGCGAGGACCGAAAUCGCCCCACCGAGAAUUCUCGCAUGGCUCCACAUCCCUUGGACCGAAAUCAAGUUUGCGGUCAAGACCGCAAACGUGCGAAGCCGCCUCUUCUUCGGACCUCAAACAGCUGACCGCAAACCCUCCUCGGUUGGAAUCCCUUGGACCGAGAACAUGCACCGAAAUCAUCUCCUUUUUGGCCAAAAACUCCUUUAAAAUCUAGAUAUUUAGCUCCAAACCGCCUACUUUUCUUUUCCUUUAUACUUAAGAAACAAAAUGGAUCAUUUGAACACUUCCAGUAGAUAUUUUCACCUCAUUUCUCUCUUAACUUCAAACCUUUUUUCUUUCCAAGAGUUUGAUUCUUCCAAAUAAUUACAAGUUUUGGUAAGUAUCAUAUAUUAUUUAGUGUUAAUAUAACACUUUAUUAAUCAUUCAUUUCACUAAUUUUAAAUAUAAUAUCAUGUGAAUAAUAUUAUUAGGAUACGUUUGUAAAACGUGUUUUAACCCGAGAAUCAUCACAACCAUAUUGUAAUCAACCAAGAACACGCACCCGCGGUGAGUUCAUACCCUACGUUUUUAUUUUUUGAUUUUUCAUUGUUNNNNNNNNNNNNNNNNNNNNNNNNNNNNNNNNNNNNNNNNNNNNNNNNNNNNNNNNNNNNNNNNNNNNNNNNNNNNNNNNNNNNNNNNNNNNNNNNNNNNNNNNNNNNNNNNNNNNNNNNNNNNNNNNNNNNNNNNNNNNNNNNNNNNNNNNNNNNNNNNNNNNNNNNNNNNNNNNNNNNNNNNNNNNNNNNNNNNNNNNNNNNNNNNNNNNNNNNNNNNNNNNNNNNNNNNNNNNNNNNNNNNNNNNNNNNNNNNNNNNNNNNNNNNNNNNNNNNNNNNNNNNNNNNNNNNNNNNNNNNNNNNNNNNNNNNNNNNNNNNNNNNNNNNNNNNNNNNNNNNNNNNNNNNNNNNNNNNNNNNNNNNNNNNNNNNNNNNNNNNNNNNNNNNNNNNNNNNNNNNNNNNNNNNNNNNNNNNNNNNNNNNNNNNNNNNNNNNNNNNNNNNNNNNNNNNNNNNNNNNNNNNNNNNNNNNNNNNNNNNNNNNNNNNNNNNNNNNNNNNNNNNNNNNNNNNNNNNNNNNNNNNNNNNNNNNNNNNNNNNNNGUGUGUGUGUGUGUGUGUAUAUAUAUAUAUAUAUAUAUAUAUAUAUAUAUAUAUAUAUAUAUGCUUAGGUUAUUUUGUUUUUUACUAAGUACUGUGUGUCAGAUUGAACAGAUUUGGACAACGGAUGAAAUUAAUCAAUGGACAUGAUUUGAGAGUGUAUGUUAUUACAAUGGGGUAACAUAUACCAUAUAAUCACACAAUUUUUAGCAAAAGGGUUUUUUGGACAAUUAACUACAUUUAUAGAAGGAAAUUUUCAGAUUUUUAGGGAUGAUUAAUUCUCCUUACUAAGUACUGUGUGUCAGAUUGAACAGAUUUGGACAACGGAUGAAAUUAAUCAAUGGACAUGAUUUGAGAGUGUAUGUUAUUACAAUGGGGUAACAUAUACCAUAUAAUCACACAAUUUUUAGCAAAAGGGUUUUUUGGACAAUUAACUACAUUUAUAGAAGGAAAUUUUCAGAUUUUUAGGGAUGAUUAAUUCUCCUAAUUUAAAAAAAAAACUGAAUUUUUUAAUUAAUUCCAUUUCAAUUUUUACCGAUUUUAUUCUGACAUUUUUUUUGUUAGAAUGAUGCUCUUUCAGAAUUUUAUUCUAAUAGAAUAUUAUUGAAGAAAAACAAAAUUAUUGAAUAAGAUGUUGUAAAAUAGCAAACAUUCUAAUAUAUUCUUAUACAUCCGAACUUAAAUACAAAUUCAUACAUAUUCUUACAGACUAAAAGCCUUAUACAUUUUAAUAUAAUUAUACAUAUUCUAAAAGAAUAUCAACAAAAAUGAUUAAAAUUCUUAAAAAAUAACAACAUUCUUAAAUUUUGAGUAUGAUCAAACUUUAUUCAUUCUUCAAGUUAUUCCUAUUAGGUCUUCAACGCCUUCUUCCAGCCAUUCUUAUCACAAGUACAACAAAAACCAAUAAUUGUUAAAAACAUGUUACUUGCAAUUAACUAUCACUUAAUAUAUUCUGGUAGAAUACAUAGAAUAUGACAGAAUACAUCGAUUUUAUUCUGAUAGAAUACAUUCUGUUAGAAUACAUAGAAUACAUUCAAAAUUAUUGUAUUUACUUCUGAUAUAAUUUUAGAUUUCAAAUAUACAAUAACGAGGGACUAUAGAAAUUGGAAUUCAAAAUCACAAAUUGAACCAAAAUAAUACACAGACAAAUUAAUUAUCUUUUUAAACAAUUACAUAAAACAUGUGUUGCUAGUAAUUCUGACAGAAUGCAUAUCACAAGGUUAAAUUCUUUAAAUGCUCUUUCAGGCAUUUCAACAAACACUUGUUAGGCAUUAUCAUCAAACAAGCCAAAAAACAUAUUUGAUUUAGAAUGCAUACCACAAGGUUCAAAGCCAAACACCCAUACUAGCUGCUGAUUUGCCUUACUUCUCUAUUCCAACUGAUUUCGCCGACAACGAGAUGGGAACCCAUGAUGGAUGGCCGAGGAUCGACAGUCCACCCUCAAUUUGCAGUCGUCCCAUUCGCCUCCCUUCCAUCACGAUUUCUGAACCACCAGACCACCAUUCGACUUCCCUCAAUCGCCUGAUGCCUUCUCGAUCUGAUGAAGACGACGAUGAGGACCGAAGUCCCUUUCUCAGUCUCCUUGCGAAUCUGUCUGACCCUCACUAGUGCCCUUGAUUUUUGACUGCUCCCAUUCAAUCGUUCCUUAUUCCCGAUCUGUUGAAGAAGACGCAUUACCAAAAAAAAGGGUCGAUGAUUUGCAUUAGGGUUGUGGAUAUGAUGGUUUGAAAUAAGUCAAAUAAUAGUAGACGUGAUUUAUGGAAUAUACCAAAUAUAUAAGAAUUUAUUUUUAGUUUAUAAAAACAAAAUGACUAAUCUACCCAUUUUUUUUACAUUAAUUAUUUGUUUUUUCUUGAAUUCUCAUUGGUGCAUACAUGCACACAAUACUUGCUAGAAACAUUUGAACCUAGCUUUCNAGGUGUGAGACUCAUGUACUACACAAGUUUAUUAAAAAUAAAAAUUUCAUAUCAAUAUUUAAACAUUAAAUAUUUUAUAAAAUAAUAUUUUUACAUAACAUAAUGUAAUCUUUUGGAACAUUUAUAAAAGAAAUCAAAUAUUCUUUAGAACAUUUAUGAGACUUUAUUAUCAAAUUAAUAGAAUGAUUCUUUUUCCUUAUAAAACUCAUUAGAAUUUUGCAAAAUUUAUUUAAAAAAAAAAAGAAAUUCCCAAGAAAUGACAAGUGGAGAAUAAUAGUUCUAAAACUCCCAUAAAAUUACAUAUAGCAAAACUCUUGAAAAUUUGACAAGUGACAAAAAAACCUUCAUUUAUUAGAAAGGAUAAUUAAGGUUCAACAGGCUUAGAAUUGAUAAAUUUGUUCCAUUUCCUAUUCCUGGUUUGGUUGUGGGUUUGGGGUAGAAUUACUUGUUCGACUGUUUAUUUAAUCAUAAUUAUAUAAAUACUAUAUUAUAUACGUAUAAAACCAUUUAAAACUUGUUAACCAAAAAUAUAUUUUUACAAACUAUUUUAAUACCAUUUGGGUAUAAAUAUUGAAUUUCACGGAACAACCGUAUCACGGAUUUUACGACUUAAACUUGCUGAAUUAUUAACAAUACAAAUGUUUUCGUUUUAGUAGAACACAUACAUAUAAACUAUAAUAGGUAUAGUUUAUGGAACUUACAUAUUACGUUUCAAAGUUCAGAAUAUAAUACGGAAAACAAACAUAUAAAUUAUAAUAAAUAUAGUUUAUGAGAUAUACCUAUAGUUUAUCCAUUUCAAAGUAACUUUUCAUUAUUCUACACGUAACCGUCAAUAUAGCAUUUUGUGAGACACACUUCACGUACUUAUCUAAGUACCAACCAAGUCUUGAAAUUUUAACCAGAGUCUCCCGGAGGGAGAGCGUGAGACUUGUGUAUAGAUCUAUACGGGACUAACAAUCUCGCACCUUAACUGUUUGCUACAGUUAGGCCGGCAAGCCUAGGGUGACAAAUUUUGUACCGAUUGCGACGCCUGAAGAACAUCGUGUUCAAGCCAUCUUAUGGUCAUCAAGCAUGGUUAUUAUAACUCACAAUUUGGUAUUGAAUAAAACGAUUAGUGUAUGAAUAAGUAAACAACUUCACAUAGUUUUAUUAAAUAAUAAAACUAUAAUACAAUAUUUUACAAGUACAGGUGGUGAAUCCAAGCACUUACAAUUACAUAGUUUUUAUACAAGUACAAAUGCAGAAUACUAUUCCAGUAUAGACAAAACAUACUUUUCAUGGUUUUAUGUGAAUUAAAACUACAUUAUACUAUUUCAGAGUACAAUAACAUUUACACGUUUUGGUCUUAGGGUAUUAAGACUACAACACAUUACAACAGAAAAUAUAUGAUUUUCUGGGAAAAACAUACUUACAUUUUCAUGGAACAAAUAAAAGAUUUCAGUUACAAACAUGCUUAUGAACUCACCAACUUAAUUAUUGACACUCUUUUCAUAACUACUUGUAUUCUCAGGAAAUCAGUAAACAGGUAACCACAAGUUUUGAGAAGACGGAGCUUCAUAGACUCAUGUCUUUUAACUUUUGUUAUACAUUUUGGUGUCAAGUAUACAUUGAUUUGAACACGAAUGUAAAACUAUACUUUAUCAAUGUAAUGGUUGUUGUAUUUUGAUUACUAUUAUGCAAUUGUUGUGAUACUGUACAUGACAUCAUCCACCCCCGAACGUUUCCGCCGUUCCGGUUUGGGGGUGUGACAGACCUACUCAACCCGUUGCACCUAUUCCUCUAAUUUUGAACUAUUUGUACGAUGUAGAACUUGAUCAAGAACUUGGUUAUUCUAAACUUCAUUUCUAGUAAAAGUUUGCACUUAUGUCUGUGAAGUACAAAUAUCCUUGGAAUCCCAAUCAAAAACCACCACAAAAUCGAUUUCAAGUUGUUAACCACAACAAUCCUCAACCUUACCCCAAAUCCAAUGAAAAUCCACCUGCAUAUCAACCCAACAUUCCAACUCACCCCUUGGAACAUCAGGCUGUUUCAAAAUCAGUCAAACCCCAGAUUAUGUGUCACAAAUGUGGUCUCAAAAACCACUUUGCAAAGGACUAUUUGGCUAAAAUUCCUCAUAAACCAAAUGUGAAAGAUUCUGCCUACUAUGCUCGUAAAGCAUAGGAAUUCACUGAAAGUGAAAAAGAUUUUGUUACCACGGUUUUAAGAAAUAUUGAUGGGUAUUAGUCAUUCGGAGAUGAGGGUGAAGAUAAAACUGAAAGGAAUUUGUGGUUGGUGGUUAGACAAUCAGUUGAAUGUGAUGAAGGGUAUCGGUCUUUUGGUUCGGAAGAUGAUAAUGACGAUGCUGAGCUAAAAUACUGCUACAUGGAAACAAACGUUCCACCUAGCCAAAGCAUCAUCCAACAGGUAAAAUCCAUGAUCAUUGAUAAUAACUUUGAUUUGACUAUUUGUGAACCUUAUCUAACUCAAAUUGAAUCAGAUAUGACAGUUACUCAUAGAGCCUAUGAGUCUUCCAUACAAGUUAGUGAAAAGCUGGAUAGUGAGUUGACUAGUCUUAGAUUACGUUUUGAAGAGUGAAAACUUAAGAUUGAAUCAUUAGAGAGGGAACUUGUAAUGGUGAAAGAUGAAUGUAUUAUUUUGAAAGAAAAAUGUGAAAUUACUUUUAGUGAAAGAAACAUCUUAGUUACUGAUAAUCAACAUCCUAAUGCCAAAAUUGAUGCUUUGCAUAACUCUUUUGAUGUUCUUGAAGCUAACGAAUGGAUGACACAUUAUUUUCGUCACCCUUGGUCCAAAGCACCAAGUCUCGGAAGCGAGUGUUCGAAACCCGUUAUUCGUCCCUUGAAGGAACUUCAAAACCUAAUGUUUAUGGGAGACAUUCCGAACCAUACUUAUUCGGAUACCCCUAUCUCACCAUUGUCACCCCUUCCCGAGACUUCGGACAAAUAUCAGUCACUGAUUCAUGAGUUCAAAUUCAACGCCUUUUUUGCCCUUGAUAUCCCUGGACCUGAACUAGUCUUUAGAAUCCUUACCUAACACAUGCUGUAAUGGAGUUUAUUUUCCGCACUUUGGUCCUCCGAAAAAUUAUGUUAUUGAGGAAAUCAUUCUUGAGAUAAACAUACAUCACUCAAACCAAUCCAAUUCAUUUUGGGCGUCUUUUGAUAAUGAUGUAGAACUUAAGAGUGACGAUGACAUCUCAUCUGACUUAUGUGUCUCCAAUUCUAAGGCAAUCUCAAAAACGACUCUAGUGUUAAUUAAGCCUCAUUUCAACAAUCCAUCGAUUGGACAAAAUUCUAAGUCUUCAUCUGACUCUUGGAAGAAACCCUGGCUGAACAAGAAAGACAUUGUUCAUCGACAUACCGAAGCUAGAAAAGCUCUUGAAAAGGAAACUAGGUCUAGGCAAUGUUCUACGUUUCUUGAGAAAUCCAAAAAGAAAGUGUCUCAAACAGUUAGUUCAGCUACUAGGAACCACAAUACUUUCAUGCCUGUUAGUAUCCUUAAGAGGCCAUCUAAUCCUAUUAGCUCGGAUGUUCGGAACACAUUUUUCACUUAUGUUAAAAAUGUAACUGUUGAGACCUCAUCUAAGAAAACCAACUCUUCUCAGAUAGUUUCUUCUUCUGUGUUUAUUUCUACCUCAGAUGGCAUAAUUUUUAAGCCUAAACAACUUUCAAAACAAAAUGUGCCAUCGAACACAACUAACAAUGGAAAAGAUGCUCAAAACACUAUUUCUCGAAAACCUUCUAAAGGUUUAAAACAAAAGUUUGAAUGGAAAGUAAAAAAAAGGUCUGAAAACACAACUAAAACACCUGUAUAUACAGUUCUUCCAACAACAUCUCGAAAAUUGUCUCUCUGAGGAAAGUUGUGCCUAACGUCCCUAAAUCUAACUCGGAGCCUAAAAACUCCAAAACUCACUAAUUUUGUAGGCUUUUGUGCUUCAGAACAAGAUAUAAUAUGGUAUAUUGAUAGUGCUUGUUCUAUGCACAUGACUGGGCAAAAAUAAUUUUAGAGUGAUCUGAAGCUCGCUUCUAAUGCUGGUUAUGUUACUUAUGGCAAUAAUUUGAAUUCUAAAAUUCGAGGUUAUGGCAUCUUGACCAACAAAAUUUUCUCUGUCUCUAAUGUGGCAUAUGUAGCUGAUCUCAAGCAUAAUUUGAUUAGUGUGGCACAACUCACCGAUCAAAACCGAAGAGUUGAAUUCUACAAGAAGCAUAACUAUGUUAUGAGAGAAGACCGAAAAGAAUGUCUUAUCAAAUCAGAUCGCAUAAAAAUAUGUAUCCUUUAGACAUCAACAAGAUCAUCGGAAAGCCUUAACUUUGUCUUAUUUCAAAGGUUGUUUCUUGAGAUAAGUUUGCUAUGGUAUUGGAGGCUGACUCAUCUCAACUUUCGAUACAUGAAUAAUAUAGUUUCUGGUGAAAUGGUUUGAGGUCUGUCACUCUUCAAAUUUGAAAACGAUCAUCUCUACGUGUAACGCCCGUAGAUUCGGGCUAGACAAUUUAGAGACAAUAAGUGUCAAAAAAUGACUUUUCGAUGGAAGAUUAUUGAGAAUAAAUAAUCUUAACCAAGUUAUAGCAUAUGUCACAAGGGUUCUGUACAUAUAAAGAACGCUGAAUUUCGAGUUAUAACGAAGAAAUUAUGACCUGUCGAAGUUUUGCUGUAAAACCGACACGACAUUGCGUAACGUAAAAAGUGAUUUUUUGAUAAAUUACUUUUUAGCCUUAGAAUUGUAAAAAAAAUUCAUAGUAGACGUUAAACCGAGAACGUACAUAAAAAGAACAUCCAAAUUUGUCUCAUAUUAGGAAGUUAUGAUUUUUUUUUUAAGAUUUAGCAUAACAGUGCACAACCCGGAGUUCGAAUUUUAGAUCAAUCAAUUUUUAGCCGACACAACCUAAAUGAGAAUUGAAGAUUUCAUUAGUUGGAGUUCAACAAUAAAAAGAUAGUCGAAAACGGAGUCCGUAUAUCGAAGUUAUGAGUUUUACAAGGUCGUUAAAUAGUGUAAUUUUCGCAUACUGUUAAAUUUAAAAUUGGCUGAGAAUUAGCCGAUGGAGUAAAAAAAAAGAGUUGUAGAUCUUGUCAAUACCUACGCUUGGAUAUAAAGAACUUCAAAAAUGGAGAUCGUAUGAGAAAGUUACAAAUUUUAGAAGAUUAUUAGUUUUUAGAGUAAUCUUUGAGUGACACGUGGCACAAUCCUGACCAUUACUUCCUCCCCACGCCUUGCCACCAGAUGGUGACAUGUGGCACACCAACAUGACAAGUUGGAGGCCCAUAACUCUCCGAGUUGAGCCAAUUUCUAGCCUAUAAAUAACAUGAGAGGUUCUCCAUUUUCUCCACACCUUAACCCUUCUCUCUAAACCCCUCCUAAGCCAUAGUACUUCUCAAGUGCUAAUAGGUGAGUCCCGAAGUGCCAUAAGGCUCCGAGAAGAGGAGCUUUCGGCUCUUAAGUUCUACCACCACAGAGCCCGGUUCCUAGCCAAACCCUCUUGUAAGUGAGUUAUGCUUACCCUACCUUGAGUAUAACUUAUGUUUAAGUUCAAUAUUGUUAUUAUGAACUUAUAAACAAUAAAUAUAUUACAAAAUAUAAUAUACAAAGUGUUAUUAUAAUAUAUUUUAACUACUCUCGGUACGGUGAAUCUGGUUUGAAGGGCCGUAUAAGAUUGUUGGAUCUCUGAAGUGCUAUAAUGCCAAAAUGGUCCUGCCCUCCGGUGUAUCAUGUCUGACCCCUGUCUAUACAUAGUGGUUGAAAGUAUUGUUUAACAUUUAUAAAACAAUGUCGCUCAUAAAUCAUCAUUAUAAAUAUUAGACUAAAAUCUAGCGGUAAUGAUACUAGGUUUCGUUGAAGGAGAAUAGAGUUGAUAGAAGUGAAGUGCUGCCCAAGUUUGGGAUCAUCACUUUAACAAGUGAGUGCAAGUCCCUUUCAUGAACAUGAUUUUAAUACAAGUAUUAAUUAAAGAGUUAAAUAUAUGUUAAAGAGUUUAUGUGUGAGUGCAUAGUCACUUUCAUGAACAUGAUUUUAAUACAAGUACUAAUUAACGAGUUAAAUAUAUGUUAAAGAGUUUAUGUGUGAAUGCAUAGUCUCUUUCAGGAACAUGAUUUUAAUACAAGUAUUGAUUAAAGUAUUAAAUAUAUGUUUGUGUGUAAAAUAUUUGAUAUUGCCUGAAAUAUGUGUUAAGAGCAUAUAUGAUAACAUAUGAUGAUUUAGGAUAUAGAGUAAACCAAAAUUAAUUAAGAGGAAUAUUAGGCAGUAUCUCCUUAUGAGUACGAGUAACAUAUACACGAAGCGUAGAACUUUAAAACUUGUCAUUGAUCCGAGAGCAUGGAUUAGACUUAUUCAUUUGUUUUUAGUCCGAGAGUAUGGAAAGGACAUAAUUAUUUGUCAUUAAUCCGGGAGCAUGGGUUAAACAUAGUCAAUUGUCCCUAGUCUGAGAGUAUGGGAUGGGCAUAGUUAUUGAUCCGGGAGCAUGGAUUAGAUAUACCCGAUCCGGGAGUAUGGAUUCGGUAAAGUGGUUAAUUUAAGAUUCAGGAGUAUGGAUUAGGUAAAGAGGUUAAUUUUAGAUCCGGGAGUAUGGAUUAGGUAAAGAGGUUAAUUUUAGAUCCGAGAGUAUAGAUCGUGUCGUUGUAAGGAUCGACGGGGUGGGGUAAAAAUUGCUUAUAUCAGGUGAAACUGUAUUUGUUGUAAGUUCUAAAAUACACACACACACACAUAUAUAUAUAUAUAUAUAUAUAUAUAUAUCAUAUAACAUUGUGAGACUGAAAUCCCUAUGUACUCACCAAGUUUCCCAUCCUGACCCACUCAGCUUAUUUAUAUCACAGGUGUCGAUACGAAGCUACAUUACAUUGAGAGAUUAAAGGAGAUUUAGAUCACUAGUGUAAAAGAAUGUAAGGUCUGUUUAUGCUUAUAUUUCUGUAUUGACGAUGACAUCCCAAAGUUUUUAUAUAAACAAGAUACAUUUCUUCGGAAAUGCUUUGUUAAUAUGUUUAUCAUAUUUUUUUGGAAAAAAAAUUCCGCAAUAUUAAUCUUGGAAAAUGAAUACUCUGAUUUUCAAAUAAGCAGAAAUAAAAUUUUUAAAAUGAUCGUGAAUUUGAGGAUGUUAUAGUUGGUAUCAGAGCAUUAGUUUAAGCGAACUAGGAAUAUGGAUGUAUUUCUUGACUUAAACUUAGAAUGCUAAGCGAUGAUCGUGAGGAGUGAGUCUAAUAUAUUUUAGUAGUACACCUGAAUAGACACGAGCCCUAGCUCAUUUAGGGAAUAUGCCUAAAUUGCUUUAUGAGCUAAAUGAUUUGUGAUGCUUUAUGAUGCCAUUAUUUGAUCAGAUCUAUGGUCUGCUACCGACCGGAUUUGGAAACUUUAUGUGUUCAAAUUUCUAAACGUUUAAUUACGGUAUUAGAAUUGGUAUGUAACUUUUCGAAAAGAUAAGGAGAUUUAUGUUGGAUUAUAUGUCUAAGCCCAUAACUAUUAUUGGUAUGUACUCGACCCGAGAGUAGCAUGGUCCAUUUGGUUUCAUAUCAUCAAGACAAUUUGUUAGGAUAGACUUUUGAGAAGAGGUUAUAUAUGAUUUAUUAAUAUAUUAUAAGUUCUAAUAUAUUAAUAUGAAAUCAUAUGAUUUAAUUAGUAUUGAUCAAAAAUUAGUUUGGAAUUAGUUUAGUGAUCAAAAGAGACUAAUUAAAUCUAUGGGGACUAAUUAUGGUAAUUCGUUAUAUUUAUAUGUGUUGGGCUUAUGGUCCAUGUUGCACUAAGUUAUGUAUGGAUACAUAAAGAGUUGGUCCACAUGAACCAUGGAUCAUAAACCCAUGGGUAUGGAUUUGGGUUUUACCCAUGACCUUUGGAAUUCUACAUAUAAAUAUGUUACUUCAUGAUCAUUUUCGUGUGCUUCUAUUCUUAGAGAAAGAUGGACGAUUUUGGUGCAUGGAAUUCUCUCUCAAAAUGUCAUCCUUUUGUCUUAGAUGUGUUGUUAUUCAAUUUGAGGUGAAACACUUGGGACACUAAGUUCUUAAAGGCCAGAGUCUUUCUUGCAACAUCAACAACAUCAAGAGGUAUGUCUAAAACUUUUUUUUUUGUUAUUCAUAUGUUAUUUGUAUGCUAGUUGUAGGCUUAAUGCUUUGGAAACACUAUGACAUGUAUAAUUAGAGAAAACAUAGAUCCAAGGCAUUUAGGGUUGUAUGUGCACCAUAGGAUGUUGUAUUAUACAAAACCUAACAGUGGUAUCAGAGCCAUGAGUUGUUUUCUAUUAUACUUGAUGUUAUUAUUGGUUUUCAAAGCAAAAAAAUCGUUUUUUGUGCAUUCUGACAGCAAGACUCGUCGAGUCCACUGGGUGACUCGAUGAGUUGCUUGAAGAUAUUCUUGGACUCGUCGAGUGCAUUAAGGAACUCGACGAGUUGAUUGUCCUGGAUGUAGAUUUUCGAGUUUUUUUGGCCUGUUUUGGAUUAGGAUCAUUACCACAAAAUGUUUUUGUUCAUAAAAUUUGAUUUUGAUGCUAUGGUAAUGAUUAUCCUUAUCCAAAAACCAGAUCAUUGUCAAAGUUUCAAGAUUUGUAUUAGUUUUUAUGAUUAGAUAAUUUCUUGAAAAUUGUUGAUGUGAAUUAUCUUUACUUAUGAGUUUGAUCUAGAUCAUAGAAAAAUUAUUUGAUUAUUGUGUUAAUCGGAAUAAUUGAUCUUAAUGGUUUUUAUGAACUCCAUAACUUUUCCUGAAGUUAUGGAAAAUGAAGAGUUUUUCUUUUUAAAAGAUUCAUUUAAAGUUCAUAGGUUAUGAAAAAUGAAAAGUCAUGUUUUAAAUGUCAUCAUGAAAUAGUUUUAUGUCUUUCAUAACUUGUCCUUAAGUUAUGAAACUUGAAAAACCAAAAGUUUUUUUGAAUUGUUCAAAACUUGCCCUCAAGUUUUGGAAUUUUUCAAGUUACCCCAUGUGUACUUUAAUUCCAACCCUUAGAAUUUUAAAAGUUAAAAUUCAACCCUUAUACUAUUAUAAUAUUAAAGGGUUAAUAUAUAUAUAUAUAUAUAUAUAUAUGUAUAAGAGUAAGUCAGUCUUACCGUUAGUAGGCCCCAUUCACGAAGCCGAUCUAUAAGGGCUGUAUAAGGUUACUGCUUAUAAAAUGGCAGUUUAAUGGGUGUCCAUUCUCACCCACCGUUUCCUUGACUGGUGGAAGGUCGUUAGCCGAACGGGUAGGACAUAACAUUAAUUCUCCCUUCAUUAAAAGUAUAAUGAUAAAUAUAAAGUAACUAAACUUUAUUAAAUUCCCAAUCUUAGUUACUUUAGGAAAAUGUGAAUUUGGUGCUAACCCAUGAAAUUGCACUUUUCACCUUGUUAAGUCGUUAGUGGAGCGUGUGUGGUUAACCGACACACUAAUAUGGGAUUGACAAUGUGUGGAAAAGGGUAGCUUGAUGUUAAUCAUAGAUCAAUGGAGCGUGUGUGGUUAACCGACAUAUUGAUUAGGUGGUUGUAACAUUAAGUGUACCAAGUUAAUUUGCAUGGUUAUUCACUCCUUGUUUGAGAUCCUCGGCAUCCCAGUCACAAACUUGAAGGGCACAAUCGAGAUUUAAACAUGCCAUUGAAUAGUGCAAUGAAUCUCAAAAGAUCUAGGAGUUUCAAUUCAUUUAAAACCUAAUGUUAAAUUUCAUUUUUCAUGGUGGAAAUUGGUAAAUUGUGUUGGGUCCUAGCCUUAAUAUUUCAUAUUGGGUGUUAUAUUAAGGACUUAAAUCAACUUGCUUGAAUUUCUCCCUCAUAGAUGUCUAGUUCAGACAACUAUGGUAUUCGUUAUUCUUUUGGAUAAAGUUUUCCUAAUGAAGAUGAUAUCCCAAAUGGCGAUCAAGGUGAAAGAUUAAUCACUUUAUUGUACAUUAAUGGGACUGGAAAUAAUACUUCACUUCCUCCACCUCCUCUAAUUAUUGUCCCUAACUGAAAAGUUCUUGAAAAGUUCAAGGUCACUCAAUCCCUAUUGGCAAGUAAUGUCUAUAUGUGCUCACAUCUUGGAGAUGAAGUCACAUAUUGACAAGUUGGGAGAGUUGGGUGUCGAAGUCUCAAGGAAGUUGGCUGUUGAAUGGGUUCUUCAAUCACUUCCUAAGUCAUAUAGCGGGUUCUUUAAAGGACUACAAUGUGACAGACCACGACAUGACACUUAAUGAUCUUACUUAUUUGCUUGUUGUUGCUGAAUCAACAACGAUUUGGAGCACUGGUAAAGCAAAUUUGAUUGGAAACAUUGGAAGUCUAGAAAGGUCUUCUCUUCCCAAUGGAAAGGGAUCGGCCAUAGUCAACCCGGUUGACCAAAUGGUAAAGAGAAAGGCUAUGUCUGAGAUAGUCCUGUGUACCAUUACUAAAGAGUCCAUAUGUUUCUGUUGCCACAAGGGGCAUUGGUUGUGACGCUGCCCUAUUUACCUGAAAGUUCACUAGGAUGGUAAAAAUCAAUAAAUUUAACUAUGAUUCAGGUAAAGUUUACUAUCUAACUCAAUUAAAUUCCUAUUUGGAGAUUCUUAUUACAUGAUGUGACUAGGUCACAUUUUGAUGUUUUGUAGAAUCGAAGAAAAGAAAGGAAGCUUAAAGGAAGAAUAAGUUAAUUCCGAUCGUGAAGAGAUGGAUUUCGAUCUCAUGGUUCGAUGAUCAAAUUUAUGAGCUGCUGCUUAAGAGUUAUGAAUAGAGUGAUUAGGAAUAGACAACAACAUAUUUUCACUUUUAUUUGCAUUGUAAGGAUAAAUUUUCUACAAUUUUUAUAAAUAAAGAUUUUUUUGAAAUUUAUCUUAUUUUAAGUUUCCUUACAAUGGCAUUUGUGAAAAUUGUUGCUUAUAUGAUUCCACUGAUAGCAAUAUUGGAAAAUGGAUUUGAUUCUUUUGUUUGUGGUAGUGUCAUAAUUUACCAAAUAAGGAAAGAUUUUCAUCACCCAAGUUUCAGUUGGAUAGAAACUUGGAAUCAUGCAACUUGUAUUGUAUGAUGAAUGAGAACUUUCAUCUUUGGGAAAUUAAGACUAAUUCCUUGUUCACAUGUAUAUGUGAGUCAAGUGAAGGACAAGGAGAUCGGGUACGCUUGGUUGUGCGCUGGUCAGGUCCACCACAGAGAACGAUAAGACUAUCCGUCACGAUUUACUAAAAUUUAGUAAAUAUGGUUAUGCUUACAAGUUUAAGUAUAAUUCUGAAUUGGAAAAGUUUCAAUGUAUGACAGAACGAUUGAGAAGAAUCAAAUUGGGCAGAAAGAUAAAAGUUUCUCCAAAUCUGAAAAGAUGGGAGAGUAAUUAAGUAUCAUGUUUUAUGAUCAUCUUAAUGAUUAUGAAAACUAUGUCACAAUUGAUCCUCUAAGGAUAUCUUAGUGCAUUUGUAUGGCUAAGAAGAGGAAUCGUGAAUUGUUGAAAUGGUUAAAUCAAGAAGAUGAGUCAAAAUUCGUUCUAAAAAAAAGUCUUAGAAUCAUACUCCAAGAUUGUGCCUUGAGUGACAUGAUCUUAGGAAGGUUUAUAGCACUUGUCGAAUGUAGAGUAAAGUGUUUACUUACUCUUGUACAUUUGAAAUUGGUAAGUUGUGAUGUUUUGGAUAAAACAAAGACCAACUAAGACCAAUUGUGUGAAGUGUUCGUCUUGAUGAGAAUACACACUAACUCUUGAAUAUUUGUUUGUCAAGAAAUGGUUCUUGACAUAGAGAAUCUUAUAUGUCAAGAGGUCAGUGGGAGUAUUAAAGAUCUUGAAAAGGUUCAGGAACUAAUCAAGAGUAAAACUAUCGAUAAUUACUAGCACACGAGUUGAGGUUUGUAACCUAUCGUGUUGACAUAUUCUUUUUUCUGUGCCAAUUCCAGUAAAGUUGACUAUGCAUAUGAGUUCUAUGAGUUCUCGGUUGUUUGCAUAACUACUUGGAAGCAGUGGUAGGCUGUUGUGCUACCAGGUGGCAAGAAAUUAAGAUUGAACAAGUUCAGUCCAUAUGAGUUUGGGUUUGUCACUAACAGUUUCUUGUGAUUAUAGUUAUGACAGAUUCACAUGGAUAGGAACACAUACACUAUAAAAUCUAAGUGUCAUAAGGUUUCUCUCCGAUUCAUGAAAAUGAUGGUGAUGAAACGCUUUCACUAAGUAGAUUUUAAGGAGAUAGAAUUGUGACAUAUGCAUUCUCAAAUUCAAUUAUGAUUACGACAUCCCUUUUCAUAAUUUGAAUUGUGACAUAUGGCAAAGGGUCUAAACAUUACAAAUUUAUGGUUGUAAUUCUGAAAUUGUUUAGACACACAUGUGAACUAUCUAACGAAAUGUGUAUGAUUUUGAGAUGCCUAGAUUAAGUCUUAUUGAAUCAUCUCGUAUCAGAAAUCUAAACUUUGGUAAAAAAGUCAAUAAGUAUUGAUUUCUAGAAGUCUAGUUGAUUUCUGGGUACAUGUCAAAGCUAGUGGGAGCAUAAGUUUUAUGCUAUUAAGAUAAUAAUUAUAAUCUUAGUGGGAGUAUAAUUAUUAUGGAAAGUGUUGCAAGUUAGCAAUGUUAGUUAUAGAAAACAAAAGGUCUCAAUUUGCAAAGUUGCAGGGUUUUGAAAACCUUUUUCAAUAUAAUUAAGGGAGAGGAAAUUAUACUUCAUCCCAAUUUUAAUCAAAUUUAGUCAAGUAUAUAUAUGAAUAUUAUGUUGGAAUGGUUCAACAUAAGGAUAUCCAUAUAUGGAAAUAUUAUUUGCGUUCUAAUAUUUGAUUAUGGUUACGACAUCCCAUUUCAUAAUUCGAAUUAUGAGAACAUGGCAAAUAGAAAUAGAUAUAUUAUAGCAUAAGACUGGUCUAGUAUCUUGUCUUUAUGUGAGACAUCAUGAAUCAUGUCCCAUAUGCUUUGGAUAUAGGAUCGAUUAUAUGUGUUGUAAUAUUCAUCCGUUCUAAUUUUUCCAAAUGCCUAGGACAUUAAGAGGAAAAAGGAAUAGAACUGGAGAUGACUAAAAUGAUUAAGCAAUUGUCAAGGACAAUCUAAGGUUUAAUAAAGAUUGGUUGCUCAUGGAUAGUUGGAAGUAUAGUGUUAAUCUUGGAAGGACCAUAUUGACAUAUUCUGAAAGAAGGCAACUCUUGUUCAGAAGUAAUAGUCAAAAUGGGAAUAUGGAAAUGUUUCCAUAGGUGGAAGUAGUUCAUUAAAUCUAUGUAAGGUUAGAAAACUUAAUGCAAGAAGGAUGUUAAAAGGAAUGUACUUUGAAUACGAGACUUCAUUUCCAUGGAAUUUCUCUCCAUUGGAAUACUUUGUAAUGUCUGCUGCCAAGUCUUUGUGACUUUUGGGCAUAGUCAUUACAAGAGGAUCAUUGCAUGUAGGUUUAGAAUCUCACAGAUUACAGUAAAUGGCAAGAUUUUGGUAUUCUUACAUUUACGAUAAGGAUUUGGAAUUAUGAAAUAAGCAUCAUUGAAAUGUUAUCAACCGAUAUAUUUCACAAAGAAAGGACCAUAGGUAAAUAUAGUGUGCAUGCUUGUAUCAUGGGACAACUACUGUUUUAGUUCAAGUAUUAAGUUGAUUAUUUGGGGUCAUAUAGGAUUAGUAUUAAUCUUGUGUUUCAAUUUGCACGUUUUGACUUCCCGAAUAACUAGGUUAUUCAAACCAUCCACAGUCGAUCAUACUUUGGAAGCAGGUAUUAAGGCAAGACUGUCAUGAAUGGGUCUGUAGUUUGUCUAGGUGCUUUAGACAUAACUGUAGUAUUCAUGAGUGCUCUUGGAAUAAGAUUCGUGUAUUGGAUUCAACCCACGCUCAUAUGAAUCACUUCAUGGAUUUUAUCACGAGUGAUCAUGAGACGAUAAUAUCUUAUAUUCUUCAAAUGGAGACAUGUGAAUUGUUGUUGCACGUUGGUUGCACAUUGACAUAUGUAAACACACCAGUAACUUGGAUGUUAUAAAACAUAUCGUUGUGUGCAAUUUGAUGAGUAAGUGUUGUUGGGUUUUGAGCAUUCUAACACUCCUAAGUGUACAUGAAACCCUAAAUACCUUGGAUAUAUGUUUUCUCUAUUAUACAUGAAAAUAUGAACUUUCCAAGGUAUUACCCUAUCUAGCAUACAAUACUUGAUACUUGGAUAAUCAAAUGGAUAGAAUACAUACCUUUAUUUGAUGUAGCUUGUCUUCAUGAAUCUUUAGUGCCUAGUGCCCCAAGUGUGACACCUCAAAUGGUUCACACAACACCAAAUGCACAUGGAAUGACUUGAGAGAAAAAGAAACACUUCUUGAAAUCGUCUAGCCCUCAUACACACCCUAGUGCACGAUUUCCUGAGCCAUGUGAUUCUUUUAUAUGGUGGCUAUUAGGGUUACACCAUGUAACUCAUAACUUUACCCAUUCCUUAUGCUCCAUGGAUUUUAACCUCCAUGGAGUAUCCAUGGGUGACCCCAUGGACUUAGUCCAACAUAAGGAAUCUUGGAUCACAAGCCCACAUAUAUAAGAAUGAAUGAUUUACACAAUCAACCCAUAUAUUUAAUUAGUCUUUUGAUCACUUAAUUAAUUCCAAAUUAAUUCUUGAUCAAUACUAAUUAAAUAACCUUAUUAAUAUAUUAGAACUUAUAAUAUAUUAACCAACCUUAAGUGUUAUUUCUCUCAUUAUAGUCUAUCCAAAUACAUGAUACCAUGCAACCCAAAUGGACCAUGCCGGAUCGGGUCAAGUCUUACCAAUUAUAAUUAUGGACUUAGACAUUAAUCCAACAAUCUCCCACUUGGAUAAGUCUAAAACUAUUAUUGCGUAUGACUUCAAGAACCGACUAGCAAUCGUAGCUCUCAAAAGCUUCUAUCGAACUCUGACCUUGUCGAUGAACUUUGACCUUUGUCAAUGACUUGUCCAUUAGAUAAGGGAUCAUAUAUUCCUCCAUUCUAUAUAUCAUAUGGACUGAGACAUGGAUUAUAAAUCAUUCUCUCUGUCCAUUUGUUGUUUCCCGAUUUCCGAUUCAAGAUGACUGACUGAUUGAACAGAUCAAAUCAGUCCUGGCUUGGCCAAGCACUCACAUGUAUCAUCAUUAAAUCAUCGAGGGGCCCACAAAUAUCACUUUUAUCCCGAAGGUAAAAGGAAUGGAUAAACUUUGACUCAUAUGACUUGUUCUACUACUUGUUGAAUCAUACACAAAGGCACGUUUGAUAACAUCGAGUUAUCGAAUGCGUUUUCGUGCAAUCAAUGUACAACCAACUUAUAGUAACAACUCAUAUAUCUAGGUUUGAAGAAUAUAAGAUAUUUUCGUUUGAUGAUCACUCGUGAUAAAAUCCAUGAAGUGAUUCCAAUGAGCGCAGGUUGAAUCCAAUACUCAAAACUUAUGAGCACUCAUGAGUGCUGUAGCACAACUUUGUCCACCAACUUGGACCUCUACAAGCCAACCCAUGACAGUCUUGAUUCAUAUCUACUUCCAACAUAUGACCAACUGUGGAUGGUUUGAAUAACUUAGUCAUUCCGGAAGAAUAACCUAGUUUAUUCGGGAAGUCAAAACAUGCAAAAUGAAACACAAUAAUAAUUGAAUCCAAUAUGGUAUCAAAACCUAUGAACAUAAAUAAAACACCUCUUAUUUAUCACCAUAUGAUUACACAUUAUUCAUUGCAUACUGUUUCAGCUAUCAACUUUAUUCUUGAAUUAAAACAAUAGUUGUCCCAUGCUCUGAGCAUGUACACUAUGUUUUUCUAAACAAUGGCUUUGCCAUACACAAAGUAUGCACUCUAUGUUUGUCUAUGAUCCUUACUUUUUGAAAUAAACCAAUUGAUCAAACUUUCAAUGAUUCUAAUUUCAUACUCUAGAAUUCUUAUGGCAAAUGUAGUAAUUCCAAAUUCAUGCCAUUUACUGAAAUCUGUUAGAUUCUAAACUUAUAUAUGGAUCCUCUUGUAAUGAUUAUGCACAAAGUCAGAGAGACUUGACAACAAACAUUACAGAGCAUUCCAAAGGAUAUCCACUCCUUGGAAACAUUAUUUUUGCAUUAAGUUUCCUAAUCUUACACAGAUUAAACAAUUUCUAACUUUGAAACAUUUCCAUAUCCCAUUUUGAUUAUCACUUCUGAACAAGAGUUGCCUCCUUACAUAUUAUGUCAAUAUGGUCCUUGCAAAAUUAACACCAUACUUCCAACUGUCCCUGAACAACCAAUCUUUGGUAAACCUUAGAUUGUCCUUGACAAUUGCUUAAUCCUUUUAGUCAUAUCCAGUUCUAGACCUUUUCCCUUCUUAAUGCCCCAGGCAUUUGGAAAAUUUUAGAAAGGAUGAAUAUAGCACAUGUAAUCGAUCCUAUAUCCGAAGCAUAUGGGACACGAUUCAUGAUGUCUCACAUAAAGACUAAACCGGUCUUUUGCUAUAACAUUUCCAUUUCUAUUUGCCAAGUUCUCAUAAUUCAGAUU
rnacentral:lncRNA from 1 species